CUUUAUAUUGAAUUGUUGAUAGACAUGUAUUUGUUGCCAUUUUAUUGUACAUAUUUCUUCUUCUUCUUCAAGACUCUUUAAUAUUUCAUGUAAUACCAGUUUGGUAGUGAUGAACUUCAUUAGCUUUUUCUUACCUGGGAAAUUCUUUAUCUACAUCCAUCAAUUCUG